GAUGAACGCUGGCUACAGGCUUAACACAUGCAAGUCGAGGGGAAACGACGGGGAAGCUUGCUUCCCCGGGCGUCGACCGGCGCACGGGUGAGUAACGCGUAUCCAACCUGCCUCUGACUGAGGGAUAACCCGUCGAAAGUCGGCCUAAUACCUCAUGGCAUCGUCUGCGGGCAUCCAACGACGAUUAAAGAUUUCAUCGGUCAGGGAUGGGGAUGCGUCUGAUUAGCUUGUUGGCGGGGUAACGGCCCACCAAGGCUACGAUCAGUAGGGGUUCUGAGAGGAAGGUCCCCCACAUUGGAACUGAGACACGGUCCAAACUCCUACGGGAGGCAGCAGUGAGGAAUAUUGGUCAAUGGGCGGGAGCCUGAACCAGCCAAGUAGCGUGCAGGAUGACGGCCCUAUGGGUUGUAAACUGCUUUUAUGCGGGGAUAAAGUGAGGGACGCGUCCUUCAUUGCAGGUACCGCAUGAAUAAGGACCGGCUAAUUCCGUG
rnacentral:rRNA from 1 species